GCUAGUUGAGCGUUUCCAGCCAACACGGAGACGCAGCGCACAGCUCAGUAACACGUGGCUAAUCUGCCCUUGGGACCGGAACACCCCCGGGAAACUGGGGCUAAUUCUCGAUAGGUGAAGAACUCUGGAAUGAGUCUUUGCCAAAAAGAUGCUAGAGUUAUGCUCUUUGGCAUCGCCCAAGGAUGAGGCCGCGACCGAUCAGGUUGUUGGUGAGGUAAUGGCUCACCAAGCCUUUUACCGGUGCGGGCCGUGAGAGCGGGAGCCCGGAGAUGGGCACUGAGACAAGGGCCCAGGCCCUACGGGGCGCAGCAGUCGCGAAAACUUUGCAAUACACGAAAGUGUGACAGGGCUAUCCCGAGUGCCAUCCGCUGAGGAAGGCUUUUACCCAGUCUAGAACGCUGGGGGAAUAAGGAGAGGGCAAGUCUGGUGUCAGCCGCCGCGGUAAUACCAGCUCUCCGAGUGGUGUGGAUGUUUAUUGGGCCUAAAGCAUCCGUAGCUGGCUAAGUUAGUCCCUUGUUAAAUCCACCGAAUUAAUCGUUGGAUUGCGGGGGAUACUGCUUGGCUAGGGGACGAGAGAGGCAGACGGUAUUUCCGGGGUAGGGGUGAAAUCCUAUAAUCCCGGGAAGACCACCAGUGGCGAAGGCUGUCUGCUAGAACGCGCCCGACGGUGAGGGAUGAAAGCUGGGGGAGCGAACCGGAUUAGAUACCCGGGUAGUCCCAGCUGUAAACGAUGCA
rnacentral:rRNA from 1 species